rnacentral:rRNA from 1 species
AACAAACGCUGGCGGCGUGCCUAAUACAUGCAAGUCGAACGGAGAAAGCUUCGGGUGAGUACUAGUGGCGCACGGGUGAGUAACGCGUGGAUAAUCUGCCUUAGAGUGGGGGAUAACUAGUCGAAAGAUUAGCUAAUACCGCAUAAGACCACAAGAACUGUGGUUCAAGGGGUCAAAGGUUUUUCGCUCUAAGAUGAGUCCGCGUAAGAUUAGCUAGUUGGUAGGGUAACGGCCUACCAAGGCGACGAUCUUUAACUGGUCUGAGAGGAUGAUCAGUCACACUGGAACUGAGACACGGUCCAGACUCCUACGGGAGGCAGCAGUAGGGAAUAUUGCACAAUGGAGGAAACUCUGAUGCAGCGACGCCGCGUGAGUGAUGAAGGCCUUCGGGUCGUAAAGCUCUGUCGCAGGGGAAUAACACAAUGAAGGUACCCUGUAAGAAAGGAUCGGCUAACUUCGUGCCAGCCGCCGCCGUAACAC